GGGGAUGACAGGAUUCGAUAGUUGGAUCCAGUUAACCUCCAUAAGCAUGUCGAGGAGCUACGUUUUCCUCGUAAAUACCGGCGUAGAUUCCCUAAGUGCAAACUUAGUAAGACAAGUGAAGGAUGCUGUAGCUUCUGCUUUCAGUAUGCCAACACUUGCAUCUGUAGUAGCUUAAACAAGCUCAUCUACCAUCGCAUCUCGAGAUACUCAAUAUUGAGAUCUGCGGUGUCAACCCCCUAUUGAGCGUAAAUUGAUUUGGUUUUCUGUCCAUUUCAAUUGACACUAAUUCAGAAUAGUUGGUAGUUGUUUUGCUGGUUUUCUAGCUACCAUACGAAAUACCAAACCUAGCUACACAUGUAGAAUAUGGGGAUAACCCAUCUAGACCCGGGUUCAAUUCCCGGCAUCUCCACGA
rnacentral:tmRNA from 1 species